GAGGGUAUGGCUCAGUGGCAGAGUGCUUGCUUAGUAUGCAUGAGGUCCUGGAUUCAAUCCCCGGUAACUCCC
rnacentral:tRNA from 1 species